rnacentral:rRNA from 1 species
AUCCUGGCUCAGGAUGAACGCUAGCGGCAGGCUUAACACAUGCAAGUCGAGGGGCAGCGCGGGGUAGCAAUACUCUGGCGGCGACCGGCGAAAGGGUGAGUAACGCGUGAGCAACGUGCCCGUAUGUGGGGGAUAGUCGAUGGAAACGUCGCGUAAUACCCCGUAACACAAGGGACCGCAUGAUCUCUUGUUGAAAGAUUCAUUGCAUACGGAUCGGCUCGCGUGCCAUUAGGUAGACGGCGGGGUAACGGCCCACCGUGCCGACGAUGGCUAGGGGUUCUGAGAGGAAGGUCCCCCACAUUGGAACUGAGACACGGUCCAGACUCCUACGGGAGGCAGCAGUGAGGAAUAUUGGACAAUGGCCGGAAGGCUGAUCCAGCCAUGCCGCGUGCGGGAGGACGGCCCUAUGGGUUGUAAACCGCUUUUGCGAGGGAGCAAUAAGAUCCACGUGUGGGUCGAUGAGAGUACCUCGCGAAUAAGCAUCGGCUAACUCCGUGCC